AACCUCCUACGGUUACCGACGCGUACCCCGCAUCCACCAGCAACGAAACGUGCACCGAAAAUACCAAUUUAUGGGAUGUGCGAACCGAGGAUGAAUUCCACGGCCGCGUGACACUGAAGGGAG
rnacentral:ribozyme from 1 species